rnacentral:rRNA from 1 species
UACGUAGGGUGCAAGCGUUAAUCGGAAUUACUGGGCGUAAAGCGUGCGCAGGCGGUUAUGUAAGACAGAUGUGAAAUGCCCGGGCUUAACCUGGGAACUGCAUUUGUGACUGCAUGGCUAGAGUUUGGCAGAGGGGGGUAGAAUUCCACGUGUAGCAGUGAAAUGCGUAGAUAUGUGGAGGAACACCGAUGGCGAAGGCAGCCCCCUGGGUCAAGACUGACGCUCAUGCCCGAAAGCGUGGGGAGCAAACAGG